CAGUGACCUGUUUAACAUACUUGAAUGU
rnacentral:piRNA from 1 species